rfam:Zootermopsis nevadensis contig3778, whole genome shotgun sequence.
GCCACGGUGGUCUAGCGGUUAGAACGCUGGCCUUGUAAUCCUGGGGUCUCGGGUUCGAUUCCCGGCUGUGCCC